GUAGGUGGCAAGCGUUGUCCGGGAAUUAUUGGGGCGUAAAGCGCGCGCAGGCGGUUCUUUAAGUCUGAUGUGAAAGCCCACGGGCUCAACCGUGGAGGGUCAUUGGAAACUGGAGAACCUGAGUACAGAAGAGGAAAGCGGAAUUCCACGUGUAGCGGUGAAAUGCGUAGAGAUGUGGAGGAACACCAGUGGCGAAGGCGGCUUUCUGGUCUGUAACUGACGCUGAGGCGCGAAAGCGUGGGGAGCAAACAGGAUUAGAUACCCUGGUAGUCCACGCCGUAAACGAUGAGUGCUAAGUGUUAGGGGGUUUCCGCCCCUUAGUGCUGCAGCUAACGCAUUAAGCACUCCGCCUGGGGAGUACGGCCGCAAAGGCUG
rnacentral:rRNA from 1 species